GAUGAACGCUGGCGGCGUGCCUAAUACAUGCAAGUCGAGCGAACAGACGAGGAGCUUGCUCCUCUGACGUUAGCGGCGGACGGGCGAGUAACACGUGGAUAACCUACCUAUAAGACUGGGAUAACUUCGGGAAACCGGAGCUAAUACCGGAUAAUAUAUUGAACCGCAUGGUUCAAUAGUGAAAGACGGUUUUGCUGUCACUUAUAGAUGGAUCCGCGCCGCAUUAGCUAGUUGGUAAGGUAACGGCUUACCAAGGCAACGAUGCGUAGCCGACCUGAGAGGGUGAUCGGCCACACUGGAACUGAGACACGGUCCAGACUCCUACGGGAGGCAGCAGUAGGGAAUCUUCCGCAAUGGGCGAAAGCUUGACGGAGCAACGCCGCGUGAGUGAUGAAGGUCUUCGGAUCGUAAAACUCUGUUAUUAGGGAAGAGCAAAUGUGUAAGUAACUAUGCACGUCUUGACGGUACCUAAUCAGAAAGCCACGGCUAACUACGUG
rnacentral:rRNA from 1 species